rnacentral:lncRNA from 1 species
GGAAACAGGACGAUCCCAUAGAUCACGACGGCCAACUGAGCAUGAAAGGCUUCCCAACUUCCCUUCUCUGCUUCUUCUCUAGCUACCCUCAACAGAAACUUCAAAGGCAAUCCUACAACAUCCCCACUGGACUUCCAACUAUCGCUGACUUCCUUAAUACCCAAAUGGAGAGCUCUGGCAACAACUCCGAAAUCAACCUCCUUGGGCACAUCCAAGAAAGGAACCUGAUACCGGACCGGGACA